GGGGAGUUACCGAAGCGGUCAAACGGGGCAGACUGUAAAUCUGCUGGCUAUGCCUUCGCAGGUUCGAAUCCUGCACUCCCCA
rnacentral:tRNA from 1 species